GAUGAACGCUGGCGGCGUGCCUAAUACGUGCAAGUCGAGCGAAUGGAUUAAGAGCUUGCUCUUAUGAAGUUAGCGGCGGACGGGUGAGUAACACGUGGGUAACCUGCCCAUAAGACUGGGAUAACUCCGGGAAACCGGGGCUAAUACCGGAUAACAUUUUGAACCGCAUGGUUCGAAAUUGAAAGGCGGCUUCGGCUGUCACUUAUGGAUGGACCCGCGUCGCAUUAGCUAGUUGGUGAGGUAACGGCUCACCAAGGCAACGAUGCGUAGCCGACCUGAGAGGGUGAGCGGCCACACUGGGACUGAGACACGGCCCAGACUCCUACGGGAGGCAGCAGUAGGGAAUCUUCCGCAAUGGACGAAAGUCUGACGGAGCAACGCCGCGUGAGUGAUGAAGGCUUUCGGGUCGUAAAACUCUGUUGUUAGGGAAGAACAAGUGCUAGUUGAAUAAGCUGGCACCUUGACGGUACCUAACCAGAAAGCCACGGCUAACUACGUGCCAGCCACCGCAGUAA
rnacentral:rRNA from 1 species